CCUACGGGUGGCAGCAGUGAGGAAUAUUGGUCAAUGGGCGCAAGCCUGAACCAGCCAAGCCGCGUGAGGGAAGACGGCCCUAUGGGUUGUACACCUCUUUUGUCGGAGAACAAAACCCGGGACGUGUCCCGUACUGCGUGUAUCCGAAGAAAAAGCAUCGGCUAACUCCGUGCCAGCAGCCGCGGUAAUACGGAGGAUGCGCGCGUUAUCCGGAUUUAUUGGGUUUAAAGGGUGCGUAGGCGGUCCGUUAAGUCAGCGGUAAAAUUGCGGGGCUCAACCCCGUCGAGCCGUUGAAACUGGCAGACUUGAGUUGGCGAGAAGUACGCGGAAUGCGCGGUGUAGCGGUGAAAUGCAUAGAUAUCGCGCAGAACUCCGAUUGCGAAGGCAGCGUACCGGCGCCAGACUGACGCUGAGGCACGAAAGCGUGGGGAUCGAACAGGAUUAGAUACCCUUGUAGUC
rnacentral:rRNA from 1 species